rnacentral:rRNA from 1 species
AUGUGCCAUCGUCAGAGAGAGCUAGUAGUAAAGAAGUUCGAUCGAUCCCCCACACUGCUAGUAGCAAAGAAGUUCCAGUCCCCAGAGUGCCAGUCAACCAUCGACGGCCAGACCGCCGCCAAGACCAUGAGCGACACCGCCGUCAUCACCGUGGCCGUCGACAACUCUCUCAUCCGCAAGAGCCGCACCAACCAAUGGCCUGGCGCCCGCAAGGGGCUGCAGACUGGCACACAAUCAGCAGAUGGGAUUGAGAGCGUGAUGUUCACGUACCGAUUCAUGGAGGAGCGGCCGGGCACGUACCGCACUUGUCACGACCGAGACCCGACCACAAUGUUCACCGACGUGCAGGAAAGCGAAGCUGGGUUGUCCCAUUCAGAACACGAUGCAGUCAACGUGCCACACGGAGACGAGGGGCAGACCAGAUACGGAUUCGCUCGCACCGCCGACCGAGAACUCAUGGCGUGUACCCCAGGAGGCAGGGGCAAUGCCGUCCUUGCAUGCCCUCAAGCACAACUCAUGGCCACGGCCAUGUGGGACACGCUGUCCUACUGGUCAGGAGAAUUGCCGAGAGUCACUUUCGGCAAACCUAACUUCACGGCAAACUGCCUUCUUUGCCGUCACAGCCUCACGGCAAAGAGGCACCACACGGCAAACCCUGCAGAUGCCGAGAGCCGCUCACGACAAAGAGGAGCCACGUGGCAUGCCCAUCCGUAG